GAACGGCAGCAUGACGUGUAGCAAUACACGUUGAUGGCGAGUGGCGGACGGGUGAGUAAUGCAUAGGAAUCUGCCCAGUAGCGGGGGACAACCCGGAGAAAUCCGGGCUAAUACCGCAUACGCCCUACGGGGGAAAGCGGGGGACCGAAAGGCCUCGCACUAUUGGUUGAGCCUAUGUCGGAUUAGCUAGUUGGUAGGGUAACGGCCUACCAAGGCGACGAUCCGUAGCUGGUCUGAGAGGACGAUCAGCCACACCGGAACUGAGACACGGUCCGGACUCCUACGGGAGGCAGCAGUGGGGAAUAUUGGACAAUGGGGGCAACCCUGAUCCAGCAAUGCCGCGUGUGUGAAGAAGGCCUGCGGGUUGUAAAGCACUUUCGGUGGGGACAAAAAGUGGCGGGAUAACACCCUGCUAUCUUGAUUUAACCCAUAGAAGAAGCACCGGCUAACUCUGUGCCAGCAGCCGCGGUAAUACAGAGGGUGCAAGCGUUAAUCGGAAUUACUGGGCGUAAAGCGCACGUAGGCGGCGUGAUAAGUUGGAUGUGAAAUCCCCGGGCUUAACUUGGGAAUUGCAUUCAAGACUGUCGUGCUGGAGUAUGGGAGAGAGAAGUGGAAUUCCAGGUGUAGCGGUGAAAUGCGUAGAUAUCUGGAGGAACAUCAGUGGCGAAGGCGGCU
rnacentral:rRNA from 1 species